rnacentral:tRNA from 1 species
GCCUGGUGGUUCAGUGGGUAGAAUCCUCACCUUCCGUGUGGAAAACCUGGGUUUGAUUCCCAGCCAAUGCA